UUGUCUUUAGUUUCAAAAGUAGCACAACUUAAUAUUGUUGUUUAAGGCAGACGAAGCGAAACAUUGCGACGCAGAUAUCAAGAAUGAAGGCAAAUGUGUUACAAGUAAACAUUGCAAUAUAAUCAGCUAAUCACAGGUUCAUAAGUUGUGUGAAUAAUUUAGCAUUUUAAAACUCAAUAAACAUAUCUUUGAGUUUCACUUUCUAUUCCGGUCUCUUCACCUGCGUAUGCUAAGUCAUGUAUGAUAACACCCAGGUGACUCAACGCUUUAUGUUUCAUGUUGCCUUUUACCUCCUUUUCACUGAUACUCUCACCCAGCAUUGUGAGUAUCGAGCAAAGUGGGCGAAUACUGGCUGACAGGUGAACACCCUGAUGCCAAGCAGAGUGUGGCUGCAGUUGUGAUGUCACCAACUGCGAGGUCUGGAGUUUUAAGUGGCUUAACUAGGAGCUGUAGGAGAUGUUUAUUUUAUUUAUCUUCCACACAUGAAGUCUAGGUUCCAGCGACCCUGACCGGGAUAGGUAUGUAGAAGUUCUAUGGAUAGAUAGAUGGACGUGUAAAAUGUGAGGAGAUCAGAAGAUAAGCAUUAAAUCAUGUAACAUAGCUGAAUAAGCGUAAAUUAAUUCAGAUUCUGCAGAAGAGUGCAAUUCCUGCUUUUUCUGAAACACUUUGGAACACAGACAAAUUUCUGUAGCAAACUAAGCGCAUAAAAGUAAAUGCUUGACAAUAAAUAUUUAAUUAAAUAAAUAAACCACUACAAGGAAGAGUCACAACCAAGAAACUGAAAAAAAAAUUAAGUGAGGAAAACAAAACCUAAAGGCAUUUUUUGAGUGCCAGGGGGAUGAGUCCAUCAACUGUUUACAUCAGAACUCAGAAAUGAAAAUUAUUCUCUGUUGUUCCACUGUACCAGUAUAAUGCAGAGAGAUGGAGAGAAAUGUCUACACAUGGGAAGAAGGGAAUUGUGUCUGGGUGAAUGGACUGCAUGUGAGUGAUGGGAUUAUGGAGAUGCUGGAUAAGUUUAUUAAGCCGCUGGAUGGUUACAGGAACCAAACUGUGGUGAUGGUCUUAUUCUUUCUCCAUGAUGCAGUUAGGUGGAGAGGUGACUGUCUCAUCAAGCAAUCGACUACCUCAUUACAGAUGAGGUUUCUGAUGUCUCUCGCUAUGGAUUUAAUUCUCCUGACUGGGCAAAUGUUUUUUGGGCAUGAGUUAAUAAUGUAGUCAAGACCACUUAAACUGAGGCCCAGUCAGUACCAAGACCAGAGUGUUACACUACGGUUGGUAAAUUGAAAUUUGUAAAUGCAACUAUUAGUUGGCAUUUUAGCCUCAAGCAACAUACCAACGCACGUCAUUGUGUUUACAUGUAGGUUUUCCAAUUAUACGAUGGGCGCAUUUUGUUUUGGCAGAGCUCAACAUCAGACACAUUAUACCAACUUUUGUGAAUAAAUAUUGCGAAAAUAUCAGUAAUUGUCUUCCUACGAAAUAGAAUGCUGCAUUUUGUUGUUAUUUCUACUAGAACUCCAAUAAUGCAUAACACACAUAUGUGUUGUGCUUUUUUAUGAAUAGUUAUAGCUGUGAUUAUAAUACUUUCUAAAUGUAGUAUAAUGCAUUAUGAAGGUAUGUAUAAUGCAAUAUGAUGACAACUUUAAGUAAGUUGUUACCAAUACUUUUUCCCAGUAAGGUACUGCGUGUAUUAUUGUGGAUAUGCGCUUUUUCUGUGUAAUGUGAAUAAUACCAAUAUUUUAUAGAUUAUUAGGGGUGCUUUUUCAUAGAAAAUGUUUAAAAUAUAUGCCUCAUUGCUCACAGGAUUACUCUGGAAUAUUUUAGCGCACAACGUUGCACCUUGGACAACUGGAUCGAGUAAAUAAUCUCAAUUGCAAAGAUUUGCGAUCCAUGUCUGUGUGUUAUACCAAUCCAAAGUUACGAACCUGAGACUAAUGAGUGCGAAAAUCAAUGCAUUUUGCAUUUGUCGGGUUCUCAGGGAUAACACCCAGGUAACUAAUUGCUUUACAUUUGAUAUUAGCUUGUUUUCUUUCUUUUACUUCCUUUUCACUGAUACUUAAAACAAGGGGCUGACCUUAUUUACCCUAAUGAUAAUCAUGGAGGGCGGCAUGGUGGUGCAGUAGUUAGCACUGUUGCCUCACACCUCUGGGUCCCAGGUUCGAGUCUCUGCCUGGGUUACAUGUGUGUGGAGUUAGCAUGUUCUCCCCAUGUCGUCGUGGGGUUUCCUCCGGGUACUCCGGUUUCCCCCCACAGUCCAAAAACAUGCUGAGGCUAAUUGGACUUGCUAAAUUGCCCGUAGGUGUGCAUGUGUGAGUGAAUGGUGUGUGAUUGUGCCCUGCGAUGGGCUGGCCCCCCAUCCUGGGUUGUUUCCUGCCUCGUGCCCAUUGCCUCCGGACCCCCCGUGACCCAGUAGGAUCAGCGGUUUGGAAAAUGGAUGGAUGAUUUCAUGAUCGUAACUGUGGGAACAGUUUGGAGAUGGCCCCUUCCUAAUCCAACAUGACUGCACACCAGUACACAAAGCAAGGUCCAUAAGGACAUGGAUGAGCAAGUCUGGUGUGGAGGAAGUUGACUGGCCUUCACAGAGUCCUGACCUCAACCCGAUAGACCACCUUUGGGAUGAAUUAGAGCGGAGAAUGCAAGCCAGGCCUUCUCAUCCAACAUCAGUGCCUGACCUCACAAAUGCUCUACUGGAAGAAUGGUGAAAAAUUCCCAUACACACACACUCCUAAACCUUGUGGACAGCCUUCCCAGAAGAGCUGAAGAUGUUAUAGUUGCAAAGCUGAAUAUGUUAAAGCUAAAAAAAGAACUCCAUAUUAAAGCCUGUGUAUUAAGAAUGGGAUGUCAUUAAAGUUUCAUGUGUGUGUAACGGCAGCUGUCCCAGUACUUUUGGAAAUAUAGUGCAUGGUGUGAUA